rnacentral:rRNA from 1 species
GCUAAGAAUAUUCCGCAAUGGACGAAAGUCUGACGGAGCGACGCCGCGUGGAUGAAGAAGGCCGAAAGGUUGUAAAGUUCUUUUGUUGGGGAAGAAUAACCAUGGGAGGGAAUGCCCGUGGGAUGACAUGAACCGACGAAUAAGCCCCGGCUAACUACGUGCCAGCAGCCGCGGUAACACGUAGGGGGCGAGCGUUGUUCGGAAUUACUGGGCGUAAAGGGCAUGUAGGCGGUCUUGUAAGCUUGGCGUGAAAGACCACGGCUCAACCGUGGGAUUGCGUUGAGAACUGCGAGGCUUGAGUGACGGAGAGGGAGCUAGAAUUCCUGGUGUAGGGGUGGAAUCUGUAGAGAUCAGGAAGAAUACCAAUGGCGAAGGCAAGCUCCUGGCCGAUGACUGACGCUGAGGUGCGAAAGUGUGGGGAUCAAACAGGAUUAGAAACCCCUGUAGUCC